rnacentral:misc_RNA from 1 species
GAAAUGCGAUAAGUAAUGUGAAUUGCAGAAUUCAGUGAAUCAUCGAAUCUUUGAACGCACCUUGCGCUCGUUGGUAUUCCGACGAGCAUGCCUGUUUGAGUGUCAUUAAAUUCUCAACCUCAUCGCUUUUGUGAUGAUGGCUUGGAUGUGGAGGUUUUUGCAGGCCGUUAAGGUCAGCUCCUCUCAAAUGAAUUAGUGGGUGCCCCGCGCAAACCUAUCUAUUGGUGUGAUAAUUAUCUACGCCGUGGAUCUUAGGAUUGCUGUAAAAAGGUGUUUGCCCUGCUUCUAAUCGUCUUCGGACAACUUGAACCAUUUGACCUCAAAUCAGGUAGGACUACCCGCUGAACUUAA